UGGGGAUGUAGCUCAGAUGGUAGAGCGCUCGCUUAGCAUGCGAGAGGUACGGGGAUCGAUACCCCGCAUCUCCAUUUUCCCCCUAUCCAUCGU
rnacentral:tRNA from 1 species